AACUACCCUGCUGGAAAUGGAAAUACUGUCUGCACAGCCAUGAAAGAGAGAGGAACAACUUCACCAGAGGAGGUGGGGAGAGGCAGAGAGGCACACAAAGACUCUGUGAAAGUCACAGUCACUCCCAGAGAGGACUGCUAAGGAGAAACCAGUCUUGCAGGCAGGCAAACUAAAGCAAGGCACAGCAGAUAACUACUCUGUGUGCCACUGCCACAGACCACAAAGAAGAGACCAGGGAAGCAAAGGAAAGCAAGACUUGGCUUUAGUGGCAUCUCAGUUUUCCUCCACUCCAUGUGUAGAGAACCAGCGGCACUCAAGGAAUUAUCUCUCCUAACACUAAUUUCCACCUGACUGCUAACCUCUGGUGUGAGGAUUCUUCCUCUGGAUGACGUACUGAACGCUUCAGCAACAAAUGAAAACCCUCAUUUCUUCCCUAAAGGAGUUACAUGUCACCUCAUAACUGGUCUGCUUACUUCUGUCUUGGAAACGUUUUGCCAGUGUGACCGGGCUUUGCUGAGUGCAUGAAAACAACAAAGCCUUUCACAGAAUGGAUGCCAGAGAAGAGACACUGGACCUCCUGAACAAGAUAUGGGUCAAGCUUCAGGGUUUGCCCAAUGCCACCCCUGUGGAGCUGGGAGCUUUCUUUGUCAUCCUAACCUUCAUCUUGGUGGUCCUGCUCAUGAUGGUGCUGACAUGUGUGACCUGCUGCUGCUGUCGCAAGACAAAGACGAAGGGGUCGAAUAUUUGAGCACACCCCGCAAGGAAACCUAACAGGACAUGGUGGAAAACAUCCUCGAGAGUUGUGGUCAUACAGUCAAAGGGAUAACAUUCUAGACAUUAUAGUUGGGCACUAGAGGAGCCCAACCCUUGAACAACAAAGCAACUGACAAACACAGAGACAGACGUCCUGACUGUCUGCCAAACACGCCCGCUGCAGCUGCCAGGUUUUCAGGAGAAUCUACAUUCCCUGGAGCAUCCCUGCCUGUGCUACACAACAAAACCUCUGACCUGAUGAAAGGCAGGGCUAAUCCAGAGAAUCUUUAAUUAUGUCAGAAAAUACAUCAAAUAAGAUCUACAAAAAUGUAUAGAAUAAUCAUAAACUCUGCAGCAAGUUGCACAGUGAGAUACGAAGAAAAAAGGUAAAUUUGUUGUUAAUAUUUUUCUACACUUAUGUCUAUGUGUGAUUUGAUUCUAUGGAUGAGAUUUGGCAGUCAGACUAGGAGGAAAGAUCCUAGUAUGGGGUAAGAGUUUCCUGACACUUCAUCAAGGCAUAGAUGAGAGAUCAAGUCUGCCCUCUGCUGCACAUAAACUGGAAUGAAUGGUGAUUUUAUUUUGAAAAGCAGAGCAUAUAAUCAAGUUCUGUUUCAUGUAUAAAACUACAAGUGAUGCAUGUGCAAAAGAGUGAGGACAUGAUGUAAUGGUCUGAUACUCUGUUUCUACACUUGACUUCAUGCAAUAAACAAAAAGUUACUUGCACGCA